UCAGGUUGUGAUGCCUAGACCCCUAGAGAUUAACAACGACGAGGAGUAGAUUUUGUCCUCUGUUGCUGGCUCGUGAUUGGGCUAGCAACUGCGGAGCGUUUGACCAGUAACACAGUAUCAAGGCCUCCUCCCACUUUCUUCAGCCCCGCCGAUCCCUUUAUUUUCUCAGAUGUGCCUUGGCGUUCGUCUCUGCCUUAUGGAUCGUUUUAUGUAGGGAAGAGGCUGUAUAAGAGGUGGUUUAGCUUUUGCACAAUGUGAGCUUCUCACAAAGCAAUUUUCCCUAUUGGAGUGGACAACAUGCUACUGUGUUCAUCUACCUGACAUGCUUUGGAUUUUGUCAGGUUCAUCACCUCAUUUACUGGUACUUCAUUGAAAAAUAAUAUCCGAGAGUACCACCAGAGAGGCUAUAUAUGCAAGCUAUGAACAUUGAAACGAGCAAAUACCAGCUGUACAUUCUCUUCACUGCAUGAGAUACAAAAGAUCACAACUCAUAUUGGAUUCAUAAGGUGGGUUUUUGGCUACUGUUACUUUAACAUGCCUGCUACAUUCAAGUGUAGAGAGACACCAAAGAAAACACGUAUGUGCUCCUUCUUACCAGCUACAGGAAUCAUCUACUCCGUAUUUCACUAGGAUUAUAUCCUCGUAUUUGCUACAGUUUUCAUUCUCAUCUGGUAUGUUGCCCGUUGAUUUGGCAUUAUUGCUAGGUUAACUAUUCCUUGUGAAAAUAUAUUGUACACCAAAAUAAUUUGGAAAAAUAAAUUAAUAGUCGGUUCUUAGACGUGUGUCAGAUAAUAUACCUAAUACUUUUUCCUAUCCAAUCCUCUUUUCUAUGAUGAAAGCCACUGAAACAUAUUGUGAACAUGAUGGUGCUACUGCUGCACCUUCUCGCCAUCUGCCUCUUCUCCAUCUUCCUUCUUUUAUUAUUUAAAUUCAGAGUUAGUCACAACUCAUGGGUGCAUUUUUAUUUUCAUGUUCUGAAGCAUAUACAAUAAGGAUCAUCCGUCUUAAUAAUUUUGACGCUACUGUUCUUUACAUUUUGCCUCUGCCAGAACAUUAUUGUGCUAUUAUUUUUAUUGUAUAGCCUGUUUAUGGAUAUCUCAUUUAACUGUUUUGUGCACAUGUGGCCAGUUUGCUCUUUCUACUUAUUAGUUAACCAAGGUAUCUAAAAGUUGCGCUAUUAGUAAUUUGGUUUUACUCGCCUAAUACUGCCAUCGAUAUAUCGAGUUUGGGAUCCUAUAUAGCAGAAUGAUUUCUCUUUACUUGAUUAUCAUGUAUACCUUAUCUUAGGGGAUUAAGCUGACAUUUUCCUAUACUGUGACUGCUUAGUGUUUUCAUAUUAUCUCACUAUUGCUCUACAUUUUGUGCAACGCAACAAUAUGAAUUCAACAGUACGGAUUACGUGAAUAUUUUUUCACAGCGUCUUUCAGGGAGCAGCAGCGCAAAGAAAAAUAUUGUGACGACAAUUUGUCUACCUAAGGACACCAACUUGUAUUCAGCUUGAUCUUUUGGAUUGACCAUGGUGUGGUAUAUGGCGUAUACAGCGAGCCACGGAGUGGCCUGAGCCCCGCGAAAGGUUCACAAAAGACAAGCUGCUUUGGCUUGAGCACAACACAAGGUCUGAUUGAGUUCAAGUGUGAGGGCAACAGUAAACAUAAUUGGGUUCAUGGUGUAAAAAAUCUGCUCCAGCAGGUUGAUGUAACUGAUCAGCGUUUUGAGAAGGAAAAGGUCAUCUAUACAAUGGGUGUAUCAAAAUGGAGUCUGCGGUUCAGCUGAACUAAUGUCAUUGCUACAUGUGAAUCUAUUGAUGGAUCUUACCUGAUACCUGCUUAGCUGACUGAAAUGAUUGAACAUAUUUUCCUGUAUAUGGAUAAAGACACAUCUACUGAACCUGUGAUGGAAAACGCUCUUUGUAGUUUCCAUAAAAAACUAUAAAGAUACUAUCUAUUUAUCCAAAGCUGCACACAAUAUCAUGAUGGAGAUGUCAACCCAGACAUCGCCGACACAUGCAUAGACCUCGGUGAGGUCAAGAGGAUGUUUCAGUUGGCGCUCCUUUGCAGCAAGAUGCAAUGUGGUCUGCCUAGAACCAGCCCCGAAGUCGGCACAGCUGCAGGCUUCUCCUCAGUCGUCCGCAGCUCCAGCUCCGAGCUAUAUCAACGAGUAUGCCACUGCUUAGAUGAACAAACUUUCUGCUUCUUUGUCAAUAUUUUAAUUCCUAAGAAGAUUGAGAAACUGAAUCUACGGUACUUCUCACACCGGUCUUAAUUUGACACUCUGUCUUUAUUUGUGUCAUUGUUCUGUGAUAACCUAGAAAGUUGUAUUUUCCCUUCAAAUAUGUUAGAUGAUUCAGUAAUGAAGUCUGAAAUUAUUGUUGCA